UUGUGGGAUUUUCUGCCUCAGGGGCUAAAUAAUUUGACUGGCCUUGGGUAAUGUACCUUGACUGGGGGAAGGCAUAUGCCUCAGGCAGCAAAGUGUUUUCAUCUGGCCCUGCAAACAGAAUGGGUAGGAGAAAAAAAACCUGCCAGUGUAAAAAAAGAAAGAACUGCUGAGGAUAUUUUUAUCCAAGCUCUGAGUUAUACUUCUGAAAUCUGGACAGUUCCUGCCUGUUGAGAAGAAGAAGAAAUGGUGGUGACAAGUUGCUGGGGUGUCUGGGAGUGUUGGCACAUCUAAAGCCCCAAAACAGCAGUGAAAAAAACUCCUCUCAGGAAUUGAAGAUGCAGUGUGAUUUUGUCCAAGAUUGCUAUUGUCCAGAUUUUGCUGUACUAGAUCUGUAUG